rnacentral:lncRNA from 1 species
GCGAGAGGAGUCCGUAGACACGGAGUAGACCCGAAUCGGAGUUGUAACGAAGAAGAUACGAUCAAAAUACCGUGAAGGGCAAAAUGGUAAUUUGGCCAAAAGUCAGAUUUUAACCCUUUUUCCUUCUCUGUCUCCUCAUUUCUCUCUCCUCCCGAUUUUUUGCUCCAGCCGCCCGACCUUUCCUCCUUCUCCUUGACGCCACGGCCGCCACACUUGGAACCGAUCUCCGCCGUUGGUACCAAACGAACCACCACUCGACCGCGACGUUUCUU